rnacentral:misc_RNA from 1 species
UCCCGGUUUCCCGGGCAGUCCCGCCAGAGUGCCCAUAAAAAUGGUAGCAACUGGCAGCAAGAGUUGCGCUCGUUAUAGGACUUAACCCAACAUCUCACGACACGAGCUGACGACAGCCAUGCAGCACCUGUGUACCUGUCUAAACAAAGUUUAGAAGAUCGUAUUUCUACGACUGUCAAGUACAUGUCAAACCCAGGUAAGGUUCCUCGCGUAGUGUCGAAUUAAACCACAUGUUCCACCGCUUGUGCGGGCCCCCGUCAAUUCUUUUGAGUUUUAGUCUUGCGACCGUACUUCCCAGGCGGAUCACUUAUCGCGUUAGCUGCGACACUGAUUUAGCAAAGCCAAACCAACAUCAAGUGAUCAUCGUUUACAGCGUGGACUAC